rnacentral:rRNA from 1 species
ACGGAAGGCAGCAGUGGGGAAUAUUGCACAAUGGGGGAAACCCUAAUGCAGCGACGCCGCGUGAGUGAAGAAGUAUUUCGGUAUGUAAAGCUCUAUCAGCAGGAAAGAAAAUGACGGUACCUGACUAAGAAGCCCCGGCUAACUACGUGCCAGCAGCCGCGGUAAUACGUAGGGGGCAAGCGUUAUCCGGAUUUACUGGGUGUAAAGGGAGCGUAGACGGCUUUGCAAGUCUGAAGUGAAAGCCCGGGGCUCAACCCCGGAACUGCUUUGGAAACUGUAGAGCUGGAGUGCAGGAGAGGUAAGUGGAAUUCCUAGUGUAGCGGUGAAAUGCGUAGAUAUUAGGAGGAACACCAGUGGCGAAGGCGGCUUACUGGACUGUAACUGACGUUGAGGCUCGAAGGCGUGGGGAGCAAACAGGAUUAGAUACCCUGGUA